CCAAUGCAUGCAGCAGUUUACUCUGUGCUGAGGACACAAUACUUGCUUUACUUUCUUCUUUAGGACCUUUCCUUCUUAGCAAAAGGAUACAAGCUAUGAGCUCCUUGGAAAAACUAGAGUGCCCUACCAAAAUCUGACAUUUGGGAUAAAGAAAUGAAAUACAUAAACUGUCUGACUCCCAAGAAAAAUAACAAGCAGGAAAGUCCAGAUGCUUCUGAGAGGCUCCCAGCUCCUGAUUCCCAUAAGUGUGAAGCUCAGAUAAAUGUUAUCUCUUCAGUGAACCUACUCAACCCCUACACAAUACUUAAAGAGCUUACCCAUUGACCACGUAUUCCUUCCUUUUUUUAUACCAAGACAGAAGGCUAGCUUCCUACUCCCCAUGUCUGGUCACUUCAUCCUUUGUGUUCUCCCUCCCAAAUGGCUGUUUACCCCCGAUUAGUUGCCAAUUUGUAAACCCUAGAGGUACUGAAGGAGAAUCUGAGAGGCAGUUGCAGUCAUGACAACACUUGUGACAUCACAGAAGAAGCUUGGGCUCUCCAGGAUACAAGAGAUUUUUCAGGGAGGACUAAUGAUGAUGUCACUGAGAAUUGCCAUAGCCUACCUACUAAACAGCUUCCCUUGCAAUGACCAUAUUUGAGGGUGCCAUUUCCAGAAGUUUCUCCUGUGACACAGUGGAAACCUUUACAUACUAAUCUCUCUAAAGGUCUCCAGUCUUUCCAAUUCUCCUCCAAAUGUGUUGGAGAAGACCCCUCUGGUCGAGGGGAGGUACAACAAGCCCCAUCAAACAAAAUGGUCUCCACAUCUUCUUCUCUUAAAGUCUUGACCUAGAUGCGCAGAAUUCAUGUUAAAAUUCCAGCUAAAAUUAUAGCUGUAGGAGCCAACAAAAGUACAUAUAUAUACAUCAGCCACCGAAACUACACAAGAUUGAUGGAGAUUUUAAAAAAAGAUUACAAGAGCUGAAGGGCUUUAACACUACAAGAACAACAAUGCCAAUGAACCAGAGCUUUCUGAUACUAGAACAAUAUUCAAAGAAUGUACAUGGACAGAGCUAUGGCUCCAACUGCAUAUGUGGAAGAGAAUAGACUUGGUGGGCACCAAUGGAAGGAGAAGUCCUUGGUCCUCCCUAGGUUUGACUCCAAGUUCAAGGUAAUGUCAAGGGGUAAUAAGGAGGGUUAUAGCAGAAGGGCAGGGUAACGAGUAAAUGAUCUUUUAGGCAGGAAACUGGGAAAGGAAAUAACAUUUUAAAUGAAAAUAUAGAAACAUCCAGUUAAAAAAAGCAAUAAAAUUUGCUAAAAAAUGAAAGACAUAAAAUAAAAGUAAACUGCCAACUAAUUAUACCUGUUGACUUGGAAAUCUACAAUGAUAGUCAGAGUAAUACAAGUGGUAAGACUAAGAUGAUGAUAUCUGAACUAGAGCACUUCUCUCUCCCAGAUAGAAGUAUCAGACAGAAACUGCACUAUAGGUAUCCAAGACAUUGAAGAGUUUACUCUGAGCUGCGGACAUAAUGCUUGUCCUUCCCAUCUUCCUAAGUAACUUUCUCUUUUUGAGAAAAAGUAUAAAGUCCAUGACCUGUCAGGGAUACAACUGUGCCAUUCACAACA